UCCUAAGAUGAGCUCAACGAGAACGGAAAUCUCAUGUGGAAUAGAAGGGUAAAAGCUUGUUUGAUUCUGAUUUCCAGUACGAAUACCGACCGUGAAAGGUGGCCUAAU
rnacentral:rRNA from 1 species